rnacentral:rRNA from 1 species
AGAGUUUGAUCCUGGCUCAGAACGAACGCUGGCGGCGUGCUUUACACAUGCAAGUCGAACGUGAUCCGGAGCUUGCUCCGGUGAAAGUGGCGCACGGGUGAGUAACGCGUGGAUAAUCUGCCCUGGUAUCUGGGAUAGCAUCUCGAAAGGGGUGCUAAUACCGGAUAAGCCUACGGACUCUUCGGAGUCUGCAGGAAAAGGUGGCCUCUAUUUAUAAGCUACCGUAUCAGGAUGAGUCCGCGUACCAUUAGCUAGUUGGUGGGGUAAUGGCCCACCAAGGCUACGAUGGUUAGCUGGUCUGAGAGGAUGAUCAGCCACACUGGAACUGAGACACGGUCCAGACUCCUACGGGAGGCAGCAGUGGGGAAUUUUGCGCAAUGG